GUGGCUAAGCAGCAGCAUUAGAGCUACGUGAGAUGCAUUGCAGUUAAGGUGCAAUCCCAUGCCAAAACCAUGACGUAUGGACUGCAUUGGCCCAGCAGCUGAUGGGUUUGGGCUAUCUAUCAUAGUGUUAAGGAAGAAGUUGCUGUUAAAUCGCUUCUGCUUGAAAAACUCUUGCAAGUUACAUCACUGGGAAUCAUCAAAGUUGCCAUUUUGGAGAAUACAGAUCAUUGUCAGCCAUAAGUACGACCUCACGGAAAAAGAGAGACAUUGCAGUGAAUCAGCCCCCAGACGUGUCACAGGAGUGUCUGCGUUUGCACGCAAGAGGCUUCUGAAGAGACCUUCAGCACAGCUCUGCCGAGACACUGCCUGUGCUGGGGUGAGGAACCCCCCUGGCAGAAGUGAGUGAGUGCGUGAACGAGGGAAGGAGUGAAAGACUGCCUGUCAGACUGCACUACCUGUGUGUUAAUCUGACCACUUCAGACAACGAGUACCACACAGAACCCAUGUUGUUCCAAGAUGUGAAUUCACAUACAAAGCAAGCUGUAAGUCUCAUCAUAAAAGCUUGUUCAUCUCUGAAAAGCUAGUCUGCUUCAGGUGCUUGUGAUUCCCAAUUGGGAAAGCUGGUGUAAUUCAUCUCUUGGCAUGUUUGUACUGCAUCUAAUGCAACAGAACCAUGAUCGCAGUGGGGAGAGGAAGACUUCUUUCUGAGGAGAUGGGGAAGGUGUUACAAAGGUGCAUUUAUGGUAGCAUGUUGAUGGAGGGGGAAGCAUAAGAGUGUUUACCCAAGGUAACAUAAUGUGAGUUGCCCUGAGACACAAAAGGGUUUAUCAUUACAGAUUCUUGAGCCAUGGAAGAGGGCCACCAACAGCGAAUGGCUUCAGCAAAGUCAAGCCAACUUCUUUCCAAGGCCUCACACAUUAGUUCACGCCGAGUCUGACCAUCUGAGUUCCUUGGAAGUGAAUGCAAAUGCCUACGUGAAGCCCAAGCAAGCUGGACUUUUUGUGAAACAUUACUAAUUAUAUUUAUAUGGUGGUAGCACUCAGGAACUGCUGACCAUAGAGUAAACAUAGUUUCUGCCUGAAGGCCAGAAGGUACAGUUCUGUACAGAAAAUACUUCAUAGAAGUUGUAUUACCAUCAGCGUGGUCUUGCUCUGCAAAUCUACUUAAUCUAUGUAUUUAGAGUCAUGUGCGCUUUAGUGACGUAAUAAAGGCCAGUUAAUUCUUUUCCCUACUCUGAUG
rnacentral:lncRNA from 1 species